UCCCUGACAGUCCAGUGGCUAAAACUUCGCACUCCCAAUGCAAAGGGCCCGGGUUCAAUCCCUGGUCAGGGAA
rnacentral:tRNA from 1 species